AGACUUGCCCAAGGUUACUUUGUAGUUUUUUUGGUAAACAUUCUGUUUAUGUCAUGAAAUGAAAGAUGUUGCUAGUCUGAAACAAUCACCUCUGUAACUAUCUCGAAAUGAAUGGAUUUGAUACAGAAAGACUUCGUUCACAAAAGCUGAUCCAAUCAGCACUAUUCACGUAGACUAACAUUGACGAAUGAAAAA
rnacentral:rRNA from 1 species